CGAUGCAACGCGAAGAACCUUACCUGGUCUUGACAUAGUAAGAACUUUCCAGAGAUGGAUUGGUGCCUUCGGGAACUUACAUACAGGUGCUGCAUGGCUGUCGUCAGCUCGUGUCGUGAGAUGUUGGGUUAAGUCCCGCAACGAGCGCAACCCUUGCCUUUAGUUGCCAGCAGUUCGGCUGGGCACUCUAAAGGGACUGCCGGUGUUAAACCGGAGGAAGUGGGAUGACGUCAAGUCCUCAUGGCCUUUAUGACCAGGGCUACACACGUACUACAAUGGCCGAUACAAAGGGCAGCGACAUCGCGAGGUGAAGCCAAUCCCAUAAAAUCGGUCUCAGUCCGGAUUGGAGUCUGCAACUCGACUCCAUGAAGUUGGAAUCGCUAGUAAUCGUGGAUCAGCAUGCCACGGUGAAUACGUUCCCGGGCCUU
rnacentral:rRNA from 1 species